GAAGGUAUGGCCCUUCGGAGUCGCCCUGCGGGGGAGGCUUCAAACCGCCACAUGCUGCGUUGGCUGAAGACGGUCGUGGUGAGCGAUGUGGAAAAGGCGUCGUGAGAGGCGUCAGGU
rnacentral:ncRNA from 1 species